rnacentral:rRNA from 1 species
UGAGUAACCUGCCCUUAACUCUGGGAUAAGCCUGGGAAACUGGGUCUAAUACCGGAUAUGACUCCUCAUCGCAUGGUGGGGGGUGGAAAGCUUUUUUGUGGUUUUGGAUGGACUCGCGGCCUAUCAGCUUGUUGGUAAGGUAAUGGCUCACCAAGGCGACGACGGGUAGCCGGCCUGAGAGGGUGACCGGCCACACUGGGACUGAGACACGGCCCAGACUCCUACGGGAGCAG